GAAGGGGGCUAGCGUUGUUCGGAAUUACUGGGCGUAAAGCGCGCGCAGGCGGUUCUUCAAGUCAGAGGUGAAAGCCCAGAGCUCAACUCUGGAAUGGCCUUUGAGACUAGAGAACUAGGGUACGGGAGAGGUGAGUGGAAUUCCGAGUGUAGAGGUGAAAUUCGUAGAUAUUCGGAAGAACACCAGUGGCGAGGGCGGCUCACUGGCCCGUUACCGACGCUCAGGCGCGACAGCGUGGGGAGCAAACAGGAUUAGAUACCCUGGUAGUCCACGCCGUAAACGAUGAGUGCUUGGUGUGGCGGGUAUCGAUCCCUGCCGUGCCGCAGCUAACGCAUUAAGUACCCCGCCUGGGGAGUACGGCCGCAAGGCUA
rnacentral:rRNA from 1 species